rnacentral:rRNA from 1 species
AGUUAGUUGGCGGGGUAACGGCCCACCAAGACGACGAUGGAUAGGGGUUCUGAGAGGAAGGUCCCCCACAUUGGAACUGAGACACGGUCCAAACUCCUACGGGAGGCAGCAGUGAGGAAUAUUGGUCAAUGGACGAGAGUCUGAACCAGCCAAGUAGCGUGAAGGAUGACUGCCCUAUGGGUUGUAAACUUCUUUUAUAUGGGAAUAAAACAGGGUAUGCAUACCCUCUUGUAUGUACCAUAUGAAUAAGGAUCGGCUAACUCCGUGCCAGCAGCCGCGGUAAUACGGAGGAUCCGAGCGUUAUCCGGAUUUAUUGGGUUUAAAGGGAGCGUAGGUGGAUUGUUAAGUCAGUUGUGAAAGUUUGCGGCUCAACCGUAAAAUUGCAGUUGAAACUGGCAGUCUUGAGUACAGUAGAGGUGGGCGGAAUUCGUGGUGUAGCGGUGAAAUGCUUAGAUAUCACGAAGAACUCCGAUUGCGAAGGCAGCUCACUGGACUGCAACUGACACUGACGCUCGAAAGUGUGGGUAUCAAACAGGAUUAGAUACCCUGGUAGUCCACACAGUAAACGAUGAAUACUCGCUGUUUGCGAUAUACAGUAA